AACGAACGCUGGCGGCAUGCCUAACACAUGCAAGUCGAACGAGACCUCCGGGACUAGUGGCGCAUGGGGGUGUAACGCGUGGGAAGCUGCACUUAGGUACGGAAUAACUCUCCGACGGGGGUGCUAACGCAGGAUAAUGUCUUCGGACAAAAGAUAUAUCGCGAUUGGAUGGGCACGCGUUGGAUUAGCUUGUUGGGAGGGUAAUAGCCUACCAAGGCGACGAUCCUUAGCUGGUCUGAGAGGAUGGUAAGCCACACUUGGGAUAGGACACGGCCCAGACUCCUACGGGAGGGGGCAGUGGGUGAUAGUGGACAAUGGGGUGAGGGCUGAUCCAGCAAGGCCGCGUGAGUGAUGUAGUCCUUAGGGAUGUAAAGCUCUUUUACCCGGGAUGGUAAUGACGGUACCGGGAGAAUAAGCUCCGGCUAACUCCGUG
rnacentral:rRNA from 1 species